rnacentral:rRNA from 1 species
CCUACGGGUGGCAGCAGUGAGGAAUAUUGGUCAAUGGCCGGAAGGCUGAACCAGCCAAGCCGCGUGAAGGACGAAGGUGCCAAGCAUUGUAAACUUCUUUUGUCAAGGGACAAAAUCAGGCUCGAGAGCCUGACCGAGGGUACUUGAAGAAACAGCAUCGGCUAACUCCGUGCCAGCAGCCGCGGUAAUACGGAGGAUGCGAGCGUUAUCCGGAUUUAUUGGGUUUAAAGGGUGCGUGGGCGGACAGUUAAGCCAGCGGUAAAAGCCCGGGGCUAAACCCCGGCGAGCCGUUGAAACUGGUUGUCUUGAGAUGUCGAGAGGUAUGCGGAAUGCGCAGUGUAGCGGUGAAAUGCGUAGAUAUUGCGCAGAACUCCGAUUGCGAAGGCAGCAUACCGGCGGCGAUCUGACGCUGAGGCACGAAAGCGUGGGUAGCGAACAGGAUUAGAUACCCGAGUAGUC